UACGGAGGGCGCGAGCGUUGUCCGGAAUCACUGGGCGUAAAGGGCGCGUAGGCGGCCUUCUAAGUCGAACGUGAAAUCCCCGGGCUCAACCCGGGAACUGCGUCCGAUACUGGAAGGCUUGAAUCCGGGAGAGGGAUGUGGAAUUCCAGGUGUAGCGGUGAAAUGCGUAGAUAUCUGGAGGAACACCGGUGGCGAAGGCGACAUCCUGGACCGGUAUUGACGCUGAGGCGCGAAAGCCAGGGGAGCAAACGGG
rnacentral:rRNA from 1 species